rnacentral:rRNA from 1 species
GAAACGGGCGCUAAUACCGGAUAGGUAACGAGGGGCAUCCUUCUGUUAUUAAGGUUAAAAACACAAGCAGAUGGGCUUACGGUGCAUUAGCUGGUUGGUGAGGUAACGGCCCACCAAGGCGAUGAUGCAUAGCCGGCCUGAGAGGGUGAACGGCCACAUUGGGACUGAGACACGGCCCAGACUCCUACGGGAGGCAGCAGUAGGGAAUUUUCGGCAAUGGACGCAAGUCUGACCGAGCAACGCCGCGUGAGUGAAGAAGGUUUUCGGAUUGUAAAGCUCUGUUGUAAGGGAAGAACAGCACGGAGAGAAUCCGUGAAUGACGGUACCUUACCAGAAAGCCACGGCUAACUACGUGCC